AGACAAGUUAGCUUCUAUUUGUAGGACAUAUGUCAAAACCUGUGAUUUAGACUUUCUUGGAAAGAAGAGACUUCAGUAAUUGUAUCAGAGCAGUGAUAAGAAAUAUUACAUCCAUCUCCUCAGCACAGUUCCCAUAGAAAUUGGAAAAGCUUGACAUCAUGUGACAACCUUGGGAGGUCAUAUGCAUUGUCUGGGACAAAAGAAGGCCGUGUGAAACAAGUAAAGUCUGCUGGACUCACCUUUUUGUGUAUAUCAGCAUGCAACUAUACCACUUCCUUUCUUCCUACCUGUGGAACCCACUCCUGUUCUCUUAUAACUUUUCACACCUGUAUAAAUACCCGUUUCUAAUAGGUGGAAAAAUUAGAAGCCAAUACAAAUUCUCAGCCAAUCUUAAUACAGCUUUUCACGCACUGAAUAAACUCUCCUCAAAGACAGUUGAGUGAAAACAUCUCAAGUUUUCAUCUUCAGUUCACUGACAUGUGGAUGGGUGAGGUGUAAAAGGUGAACGCAGAAGAGGAUGAAGACCAUGACUGUUGAUUAUUUUGGUUGUUGAUACUGUAAAAUUUGUUUCUUAUUUAGCCUUUAAUUUGACAACUAUAGAAAGAAAAGAAUUGAAGACUAUUUUUAAGGAAAAAAUACAUAAAAAACAACUAAAAGUUGUUUCAAGUGUGACACAGAAGAGCAUGAAGUUUUGGGAAAUAUAAGAACAAAUUAGACAACUCAAUUCUCAUUCCAGGUGAGUGAGCUUUGGAAAUGUCAGUGCAGUGCACUCUGAUAAUCUCUCUUGGUCCGUUUCACCACCACUUGGUUUUAUUAGCUCGCUGGUAAGAUAAGACUCCUUGUUACAUCUUCAGCUUGGAUGCAAUUAGUGUUUUUCCUUUCCCUUGGCUAGCCAAAGAUUGUGAUAUUUUGUGCUGUUCUUCUGACAUGAUUUCUGAAGCUUUUAAUAUUCAGUUCAUAGACCAUAGGAGAGAGUAAAUUAUGCCUCUAUAGUUAUUUGUCUGUGGUUUUGUACAAAGAUGUAUAUAUUGGCUUUUCUCCUGAAUUUUGUUUAAGCAACUAUGACAGCCUGCUUAUUGAUAAAGGGGCUGCUUUUCCAACUUGUUAACUGAAAUAUGUGCUUUCUGAGCCAUAAGUUAUUUGAUCAAACUUACUUUAAAUGUAGUUUUACACCU
ensembl:lncRNA